rnacentral:lncRNA from 1 species
CUCGUUCAUCUCCAAAUCUCCUCACUCUCCCGCCGCCUCAGUCACUCUCUCUCACUCCCUCGCCCAGCCGCCGCCCGCCGCCCCACCAGUUCGCCCGCCCGCUGCCGGCGAAGGCGAGGACAGCAGCAGCUGCAGAAGACGCGGCACACCGCACACGCCCUUCCUCCUCCAGUUCGCUCGCCGCCCCUCUUUCCCUUCUCGGACCACUCCAGCUCCAGCUCGCCGGCCACCUUCUCGGAGCACUCCAAUUCGUCGGCGGUCGGCCUCACCCUGCCAGCCUCCCUCUCAGUUCGCCGGCGAAGGCGGAGUUACAGGUCGGCGACUCCCUCUUUCACACUCUCUCUUUUACUCUCUGCCCAACUCUCUUUCACACUCUCUCUUUUAUAGCUCUCUCGACGCACGCACGCACCGGUCGCCGCUGCGCCGCACCAUUUUGAUUUUGUUAGAUAAAUUGUUGAUUUCAGCCAUUUUUGAGAGAUUGAGUUUGUUAGAUUCAGUCAUUUCAGCCAUUAAAUUUGUUGAUUUGGGCCAUUGAUUUGGCAGCCAUUUUGUUAGAUUAGAUUAUGGUUUUUGAUUGAGUUUGUUAGAUUCAGCCAUUUCAGAUUGGAUUUAUCGAAAUUUUAUGGUUUU